rnacentral:rRNA from 1 species
GAUGAACGCUGGCGGCGUGCCUAAUACAUGCAAGUCGAGCGAACAGACGAGGAGCUUGCUCCUCUGACGUUAGCGGCGGACGGGUGAGUAACACGUGGAUAACCUACCUAUAAGACUGGGAUAACUUCGGGAAACCGGAGCUAAUACCGGAUAAUAUAUUGAACCGCAUGGUUCAAUAGUGAAAGACGGUUUUGCUGUCACUUAUAGAUGGAUCCGCGCCGCAUUAGCUAGUUGGUAAGGUAACGGCUUACCAAGGCAACGAUGCGUAGCCGACCUGAGAGGGUGAUCGGCCACACUGGAACUGAAACACGGUCCAGACUCCUACGGGAGGCAGCAGUAUGGAAUCUUCCGCAAUGGGCGAAAGCCUGACGGAGCAACGCCGCGUGAGUGAUGAAGGUCUUCUGAUCGUAAAACUCUGUUAUUAGGGAAGAACAAAUGUGUAAGUAACUAUGCACGUAUUGACGGUACCUAAUCAGAAAGCCACGGCUAACUACGUG